ACGAACGCUGGCGGCAUGCCUAACACAUGCAAGUCGAACGAGACCUUCGGGUCUAGUGGCGCACGGGUGCGUAACGCGUGGGAACCUGCCCUUAGGUUCGGAAUAACUCCCCGAAAGGGGUGCUAAUACCGGAUAAUGUCUUCGGACCAAAGAUUUAUCGCCUUUGGAUGGGCCCGCGUUGGAUUAGCUAGUUGGUAGGGUAAAAGCCUACCAAGGCGACGAUCCAUAGCUGGUCUGAGAGGAUGAUCAGCCACACUGGGACUGAGACACGGCCCAGACUCCUACGGGAGGCAGCAGUGGGGAAUAUUGGACAAUGGGCGAAAGCCUGAUCCAGCAAUGCCGCGUGAGUGAUGAAGGCCUUAGGGUUGUAAAGCUCUUUUACCCGGGAUGAUAAGGACAGUACCGGGAGAAUAAGCUCCGGCUAACUCCGU
rnacentral:rRNA from 1 species